GCUUCCAGAGGUGUUCAUGCAGAAGACUGGAUGCAGGACCCUUGGUGGCACCAGUGUGCAGAUGAGCAGAUAGUGACUGAUUGCCACUGGGGCUAUAACAAAAUAUAAUAAACUGGGUACCUUAGAAGCAACAGAAAUUGAUUUCUCAUCGUUCUAGAAGCUAAGAAGUUCACGAUCAAGGUAGCAGCAGAGUUGGUGCCUGCUCUGGAGGCUGGAAAUCCAACAACAGAGUGCCAGCAUGAUCAGGUUCUGGAGAGGACCCUCUUCCUGUUUGCAGACUGCUGACUUCUUAUUGUAUAUUCCAAUGGUAGAAAGAGAGCAAGAGAACUCUCUGGAGUCUUUUUUUAUAAGGGUGCUAACCCCAUUUAAGGAGGUUCACCUCAUAAUCUAAUUAUCUCUCAAAAGCCAUACCUUUCAACACCAUUGCAUUGAAGGUUAGGAUUUCAACAUGUGAAUUUGUAGUGGGGUGACAGGGAGAGGGACACACAAAUAUUUAGUCCAUAAUGCAUACUAACAAAAACUGAAGUGGGGUAAAAAGUCACUUAAGUGAAUCCUUGCAGUAUUAAAGGACACGUUAUAGUUCAUUUAUCCUUUUGGUCAGUAAAUAUUGAGCACACACUAUGAGCUAAAUUCUAGGUGCAUGUUAGAGCAUUGGUGGUACCACAAUAAAAUAGCCUUUUUCCCUAUCCUCAGGGAUUUUAUAAUUUUGUGAAAGAGUUAUGCAGAUAGGCAGUUAACCUGCAGGUGGUGAUUGCUCACAAAGAGAAAAGCAGGGGGCUGUAAAAUUAGAGAAGCUAAGCUCACUUACCCUGUAUGGAGUUGGAUACAGAAUGUUUGCUAGAGGAAGUGGUGCCAAGUAGAUUUAGAUAAAGAAGAAGGUGGUGAUGAGAGGACGGAAGUGAUCGAAGGAAUGAAAGGUAGUAGAAAGGAAAUAGCAUGCGAGAAGCUGUAGGAGAAAGGAGAAAGCGCUCUUCCUGGCAAAAGGGAUAGCACACACAUAGGUUAGAGGUAAGAGGGCACAGCAAGGCUGCAGAGGCCUUGGGAGCUCAGCAUGAUUCGAAUGCAGUUGUACAGGAGGACUGGCACACACUCUGCUUCUUGGAGGUUACAGCAACUGCUACUCUCUGAAGGUUGUGUUACUUAUCUAUCUACUCAUCUAACAACAUGCCAUAACACAGUGAGGGAAUUCCUCCAGACCUUUGAACAAAAAUGUUCUAACUUGGUUCAAAAUAAUUUAUACUCAACAUUCUUAGUAUCUUGCUUCAAAAAUAAAUGGAUGAAAAAUAGUGUUCUGGCUACAGUUCUGUGUAACAAUUCGCCCAACUGUAGUGGCUUAAAAUGACAAUUAUUUUAUUAUGUUCAUGUAAGUGUAGGUCAGGGGCUCAUAAAGGGCUAAGGGAGGAAGCUUGUCACACAUCUAUGGUGUGAGGCUACCUCCUAGAAAAGACAAGUAAUGGACCACUUGGCUUGUUUAAUGACUGUGUGGUAAACAGGGGCAUGUGAGAGUUUGCUUAAAGGCAGACUUCCUCCUCUGGUCACUUUGGUCCAGCCCAUUCAACUGUUCCUUGCCUGGCCUUCCAGUUUCUGAAUUCCUACUUAGCAUCUGAGAUGGCUUGACCAUCAUUCUGCACGAGAGUUUAUAAAUGAACUUUUGUGACUGCACCAGACUUCUAAUGCCACAAUGGCUCCGCCUGCAUACCCUUCUACUCUAUGUGGUUUCAUUCUUCUUCCCUUCCUGCUCAGAAUUAAGUCUGAAUUGAAUGCUCCAAUAGUCUCAUAGAUAUUCUCAUAGAUAUAGAUAUUCUCAUAGGUAUUCUUAUAUAUAUUGGUUCAUUCCUGAGGGUUCUUGAACCUCUCAGUUAUUUUUUCUUCUUUCACCCCUGCAUAAUUUGAGAAAGCUUAUCAAAGCUGGGAAUAGGAACCAUGUCUCACUGGUUUCUUUUAAAAUUUCUAUUUAAAAAUAUUUACUUAUUUUUUUGAACAGGUAAUAUAGUCACAUAGAUAAAAAUCCCAAGAUGAAAAUAUAAAUAAAUAGGUUCCCUUCCUCCAUACCAUGUGCAUCAUAAAUCCCCCCAAUUUGUCUAGUACAGGUUCUCAAAACAUUUACUGAAUUUUUAUAGUCAAGUUCCUCAAUACGUACACCUAGUACAAUGGUUGGAUUUACUAUAAAGCUGACGAAUCUUAAGCCUCAGGGCUCAUCACCUGCUGGGGCUCCUUCCAGGUCCUCUUCCAGAAUCAUCAUCAACUUGCUUCUAUGCCUUUGUAAAAUAUACAAUUGUAAUACAUUUAAACCACAUCAUUUCCAUCUGUUGCCCCUUUCCACUGCAACCCCUUGGCAUACUCUGCCUCCUAUAAAGGGGCAUUAGAGUAGCCUGUGGCAACUUUAGGAUAUAGAAAAGGGGAAAUUGAAAUGGGAGUACAUUUUAUUUGGGUUUAGUGAGAGUUUAUGAGCUUUGCAGUCUUUUUGUAAAUAGCUAAGUAAUUGUUAAGUGUAGCAAUGACUGUCAGUUCUAUUCCUAACUGCUCGCCAUGAAGUUUACCUAGUAUCAUCAUGUGAACCUGCAGGGCCAGAGUUAUUCUGCUAUAUAUAAAAGUGCCCUAUAGCAUCUACAAUUGGGAGUAUGUAAUGGAAAAGAAGAUAGUGUUUAUUAAUAUGAAUAUUGUUAUUUUUCUGAAUUUUGUGAUGUUUGUGGUAUCCAUCAGCACUUUUAUAUUUGUAAAUUUUUCCCAUUUCUUUUCUUCAUUUUCUAAACACUUUUCAUACAAUUUCUUUGUUACUUUGCAUUCCUUUUUUCUUAGUGUGGUGUCCAAAAUUGUAAGAAUCCUUUAUCCCACAAAAAAUUGAUCCUGUCUUUUACAGAAUUGCCCAGCAGCUGUCUUUUUCAUUUCCUUUGCUUGUGGUUUGCCCAUCUGUCAGCUGUGAAUGACCCAAACAACACCACACGCUAUUUCUAACUCAACAGUCCUGGAACUUUCUUGACCUUUGACAAAGCCACCAGAUCACCAUCACCAUCAUUAUUGUUUAUAGAAACAUGAAAAUUCAACCAUAAAAAGUCAUCUUGGGCUGAGCAUGGUGGCUCUAACAUGUAAUCCCAGCACUUUGGGAGCCUAAGGUGAGAAGAUCACUUCAGGCCAGGCAUUGAAGUUCAGCCUGGGUAACAUAGCCAGAUCUCAUCUCUAC